CGGGGGGCGGCCGUGCUGGCGGCAACAGCGACCCCUCCGCUCGCCCGCCCGCCCGCAGCCGCACGAUCGCACCCUGCCAGCGGAGCGCCGGCAGCAUCCCCGCUGGAUGAGGCAUCCCCGGCACCCUCUGGACACAGGCUGGGAUUGCACUCUGCCCUGAGCCAGCUGUGCAUCCAGCCCAGGAAAACCAGGAUUGAACAACAAACCAGGACUGCAGCGAUUCCUUUUGUUGCGGGUAUCCCUCCCUGCGGCUCGUGGGGCUAUAAAUCGGUGUGUGCCUCUGGCCACGGCUUGCUGAGCCCCCCGUGGCUCCAUGAACGCCAAGGUGGUGCCUCCAGCCUGUCAGCAGCUUAUGAGCAUGACAAGGGGGGUGUGGGUGGAAUAAGGGACCCCAUGAAGAGGAGAGAGGCGCUGUAUCCCAGCCCCAUACUGCAGCACAGCCCUUGCACUGGGAAGGAAGGUUCCUGGGCAUCCUGCCCUUUCCAGGAUGAAUCACAGCCACAGGUGCCAUUUUCCAGGUUCUGGCACGUUGCCUGGCACCACACCUUGCAGGAAAGCAGUGCCAGGUCCUGUCCCACGGCGCAGGGCACGAGGGAGGACGGAGGGUGGCACGGAGCUGCCCUCCUGUACGUGCUGCAGAGCAGCCCGUGCCCGGGGCGAGCGGGACUGACCCAGCAGAGCAGCGCUCCUUAAUGAGCAUCAUUAGUUCUGCUCCCAGCAGCGGCUAAUUGCGUAAGGCCGGCACACGGUGGGCUGCCCUGGAGAGGGACGAGGGCAGCGUGUCCACAGCCUGGUCCUUGGGAACAGCCCCCGGGCUGCCAUAAGCAGUGCCAUGUGUAGUAGAUAUAAUUCACACCAUUUCUAGUAUGAUAUGUGUGAUAUUGAAUAUUUGUUGGAGUAUACAUGUUUGUAUUAGGACUGCCCCCACCAUCGCAGGCGAAACCUGGUGUGUGUCAAAACCCGAUUUACACGUAAAAAGAGGUGGCUCGGCCAGGGAUGGGGAUGGGCCAUGUCUGGAGAGAUAAGGGGACCCCAGGCGCUGAUCAUCGUGUGAACGACCCGAGAUGGAUCUCAUGGAAAUCCUCGGGCAGAUCCAUGUGAAUGCAGCGUUCUGUAAAGUUCAUCAAGGGAUUCAGCAACUCCUGACACUGAAUUGUUCUUCUUCAUCAC
rnacentral:lncRNA from 1 species